UGGCUCAGACGGUAAAGCGUCUGUCUACAAUGCAGGAGACCCAGGUUCGAUCCCUGG
rfam:TPA: Bos taurus chromosome 5, whole genome shotgun sequence.